AUUGAACGCUGGCGGCAGGCCUAACACAUGCAAGUCGAACGAGUGGCGGAAGGGGGAGUAAUGUCUGGGAAACUGCCCGAUGGAGGGGGAUAACUACUGGAAACGGUAGCUAAUACCGCAUACCAUCGGAUGGGCCCAGAUGGGAUUAGCUUGUAGGUGAGGUAACGGCUCACAUAGGCGACGAUCCCUAGCUGGUCUGAGAGGAUGACAAGGACAACUGGAACGUGGACAAUGUCCACACUCCUACGGGAGGCGGCAGUGUGGAAUAAGGAACAAUGGGCGCUAGCGUUAUGCAGCCACUCCUCGUGUAUGAAGAAGGACUUCGGGUUGUAAAGUACUUUCAGCCGGGAGUCGUUACCCGCAGCAGAAGCACCGGCUAACGCCGUGCCAGCAGCCGCGGUAAUAC
rnacentral:rRNA from 1 species